rnacentral:rRNA from 1 species
GGACCCGCACAAGCAGUGGAGCAUGUGGUUUAAUUCGAAGAUACGCGCAGAACCUUACCAACACUUGACAUGUUCGUCGCGAGACCAAGAGAUUGGUUUCUUCAUUUAGUUGGACGAAACACAGGUGCUGCAUGGCUGUCGUCAGCUCGUGUCGUGAGAUGUUGGGUUAAGUCCCGCAACGAGCGCAACCCCCUACUUUUAGUUGCCACCAUUUAGUUGGGCACUUUAAAAGAACUGCCAGUGAUAAGCUGGAGGAAGGUGGGGAUGACGUCAAGUCCUCAUGGCCCUUACGUGUUGGGCUACACACGUGCUACAAUGGCACUUACAAUGGGAAGCAAAGAGGUGACUCCUAGCUAAUCCCAAAAAAUACCUCAGUUCGGAUUGCACUCUGCAACUCGAGUGCAUGAAGCUGGAAUUACUAGUAAUCGU